rnacentral:rRNA from 1 species
AAAAACGACUCUCGGCAACGGAUAUCUCGGCUCACGCAUCGAUGAAGAACGUAGCAAAAUGCGAUACUUGGUGUGAAUUGCAGAAUCCCGUGAAUCAUCGAGUUUUUGAACGCAAGUUGCGCCCAAAACCAUCCGGUUGAGGGCACGCCUGCCUGGCCGUC